rnacentral:rRNA from 1 species
AUUGAACUGAAGAGUUUGAUCAUGGCUCAGAUUGAACGCUGGCGGCAGGCCUAACACAUGCAAGUCGAGCGGUAAC